UACGUAGGAUGCAAGCGUUGUCCGGAUUUACUGGGCGUAAAGCGCGCGCAGGCGGCACUCUAAGUACGUCGUGAAAUAUCCCGGCUCAACCGGGAGGGUGCGAUGUAGACUAGGGAGCUAGAGGUCGGUAGAGGGGGGGUGGAAUUGCUGGUGUAGCGGUGAAAUGCGUAGAGAUCAGCAGGAACACCCCUGGCGAAGGCGGCCCCCCUGGGCCGAUAAAAAGUCCUGUCAAGGGAAACCUUUGGC
rnacentral:rRNA from 1 species